AGGAGAGGAAAAUGCUUCUCUAGGAAGCCAGUCAGAAGAGUGAGCCUGAGAGGUGACCACAGAGUGGGUAAGGCUCAUAGGCAGUGCCUUCUACCAGCAUCCCCUUUGAGAACUCAUGGGCCCUGCUCCUUUGGACUCUUUUGGUUGUAAGCCAACAGAAAUUCUGUGAGGCCUGUGUCCUGCAAUUGGAUCUGCACAGGCAGCCCUUUACAACCUCGGAGGACCCCACUGAAAUCAUUUGAUUGCUGGAUUGGGGCUUUAAAUCAAGAGCCAGAUUCUGAUUUGUUUACUUAUGUCAAGUUGCACCUUAGUUCACAAAUAGUCUCACUGAAGUCUACUGGACUAUUUAUUAAGGUACUAGUGAGAAUGAAUAGGGGCCAGAAUCUGGCCUUAAAUGCUACAUUUACGAUGCUAAAAUAAAAUUUUGGUGAAUUGUUUAUAACACAUUAAACACAGCUGCUGUCUUACUACUUCCUACUAUUCAAUGUUUUUUCUGUUUUAGAAGCAUGUUUUUCAUAACUUAUGAAGCUUAAACAUUAUUAUCUUUUUGUCAAUAAAUGUAUACAUUUUCUUCUUAGUAUAGAGAGACAAAAAUGUAAAUUGAAUCUGAAUUAGAAAUAUCUACUCACCUAAGAAGCCCUUAUCCUUCCAUAAAACCUUUCCAGGUUUUUUCCUGCAAUGCCGUUAGGAGAGGACUAGAUUUAAUCAAUGAUUGAUAUUCAGUCUGUGCUGUUUCUGUUUAGUGCACUCACUGAAUAUUUAAAGAGUCUUUGUUUGUUUUUGGAAUAUAGUGAUUGUUUCCGUCUCUGAUUAUAUGCAUACAAUCCACUGAAACACAGGUGACAUAGAACUGGGAACCUACUCAGAAUGAAAGCUCAAACUUAGGUGAUCUCCUGCCCCAAAUUCAACCCCAAAACAACUUUCUUGUGAAAUGAGUUUGUUUAAAAUAUGAUCACCAUACUGAGACAUUACAUCCCAUACUCUUUAUGGAAAUAGGGUUAUGAUAGGAAUAUGGUAUAACUAAGAUAUACUUUAUGCAAGAUGGAUCUUGUAAGAGAUCCUUGGAAAGGUUAUAAUUUACUGAAUGUAUUUAUCCAAUUUGUAUGCAUGUAUCAUUUUUGUAUCUGAUGCUGGGAAUAUUGACCAUGUCUCUGUAUUUCAAAUGUGCUAUGUUGGAUGAGGCUAAACAAUGUUAGUGGCUUGUUGAAGAAAUGCACACA